UACGGGGGGGGCAAGCGUUGUUCGGAAUUACUGGGCGUAAAGGGCGUGUAGGCGGCCAACUAAGUCCGACGUGAAAUCCCCAGGCUUAACCUGGGAACUGCGUCGGAUACUGGAUGGCUUGAAUCCGGGAGAGGGAUGCAGAAUUCCAGGUGUAGCGGUGAAAUGCGUAGAUAUCUGGAGGAAUACCGGUGGCGAAGGCGGCAUCCUGGACCGGCAUUGACGCUGAAGCGCGAAAGCUAGGGGAGCAAAGCGGGG
rnacentral:rRNA from 1 species